UGAACGCUGGCGGCAGGCUUACCACAUGCAAGUCGAGCGGUAACAGAGAGAAGCUUGCUUCUCUGCUGACGAGCGGCGGACGGGUGAGUAAUGCCUAGGAAUCUGCCUAGUAGUGGGGGAUAACUUGCCGAAAGGUAAGCUAAUACCGCAUACGUCCUACGGGAGAAAGGAGGGGACCUUCGGGCCUUUCGCUAUUAGAUGAGCCUAGGUCGGAUUAGUUAGUUGGUGAGGUAAUGGCUCACCAAGACCGCGAUCCGUAACUGGUCUGAGAGGAUGAUCAGUCACACUGGAACUGAGACACGGUCCAGACUCCUACGGGAGGCAGCAGUGGGGAAUAUUGGACAAUGGGGGGGAACCCUGAUCCAGCCAUGCCGCGUGUGUGAAGAAGGUCUUAGGAUUGUAAAGCACUUUAAGUUGGGAGGAAGAGCAGUUAACUAAUAUUUGACUGUUUUGACGUUACCGACAGAAUAAGCACCGGCUAACUUCGUG
rnacentral:rRNA from 1 species